GGAAGGGUUUGCAAAAGAGAGACAUGUGAGCUGGAAGGUUUAUGAAGUGAAGAUCUACAUAUGUAGCUAAACUACGGAGUCAAGAUAGGUGAAGAAAAUUGUCUCCAUUGCUAGGCUUCUGUCUUUGGCCAGGUGAGUCCCAUGCCACCUCUUGGAACUCCAUAACUCUACAGAUGCACUAUUGCCAAUAGAAGGACCCCCUAUGGUUCUGUUGGCCCCUACUUUCUUAUGUUUCAGGUAAAGACUGAAAUUGAAAGGUCUCACAUAUCUUGGGCUUGGUGAUGAACUAUUCAAGUACCUCCGAAUGGCAGUGUCUCCACAAGGGAAACUAGAAGAUAAAGCCUUUCUCAGCAGUUAUCUCUGGGGCCAGCUUUACCCACCAAAGGACUCCAGGGCUGUUGGUGCUCCCUGCCCUGGCUAUAUCUGACUGGAGUCUGUCCUUAUA
rnacentral:lncRNA from 1 species